GACCGCUCCGGUGACUUAGUGGUUAGAGCGUCCGCCUCGGAUGAGGGAGGUCGUGGGUUCGAUUCCCGAUUGAGUCA